AUUGAACGCUGGCGGCAGGCCUAACACAUGCAAGUCGAACGGUAACAGGAAGAAGCUUGCUUCUUUGCUGACGAGUGGCGGACGGGUGAGUAAUGUCUGGGAAACUGCCUGAUGGAGGGGGAUAACUACUGGAAACGGUAGCUAAUACCGCAUAAUGUCGCAAGACCAAAGAGGGGGACCUUCGGGCCUCUUGCCAUCGGAUGUGCCCAGAUGGGAUUAGCUAGUAGGUGGGGUAACGGCUCACCUAGGCGACGAUCCCUAGCUGGUCUGAGAGGAUGACCCGCCACACUGGAACUGAGACACGGUCCAGACUCCUACGGGAGGCAGCAGUGGGGAAUAUUGCACAAUGGGCGCAAGCCUGAUGCAGCUAUGCCGCGUGUAUGAAGAAGGCCUUCGGGUUGUAAAGUACUUUCAGCGGGGAGGAAGGGAGUAAAGUUAAUACCUUUGCUCAUUGACGUUACCCGCAGAAGAAGCACCGGCUAACUCCGUG
rnacentral:rRNA from 1 species